rnacentral:lncRNA from 1 species
UGUUUUAAACUAAUGCAAUUAUUAUAUAAAAUGAAAAAAAAAACACAUUGCGAAUGCAACUUUAAAAUGAAAACAGUACACAAAUUAGUGAAGACCUUAUGAAUGUGACCUAUUUAUAGUUUUUCUUAAAUCUAUAAGAAUAGUCACAACUUUUCAAUUUUAAAAAGAUACGUAUGAUUGGUUACAACUUACCAAUAGUCACAGCCUUUCAACAUAAUUAGAAUUUACAACCUUUGGAAUUAAUUGGGACUGCUAUUAUUAGUAGAUUUAUAGUAAAAUUAUCCAACUUAUUGUA